CCUACGGGGGGCUGCAGUGGGGAAUAUUGCACAAUGGGCGCAAGCCUGAUGCAGCCAUGCCGCGUGUGUGAAGAAGGCCUUCGGGUUGUAAAGCACUUUCAGCGGGGAGGAAGGCGGUGAGGUUAAUAACCUCAUCGAUUGACGUUACCCGCAGGAGAAGCACCGGCUAACUCCGUGCCAGCAGCCGCGGUAAUGCGGAGGGUGCAAGCGUUAAUCGGAAUUACUGGGCGUAAAGCGCACGCAGGCGGUCUGUCAAGUCGGAUGUGAAAUCCCCGGGCUCAACCUGGGAACUGCAUUCGAAACUGGCAGGCUAGAGUCUUGUAGAGGGGGGUAGAAUUCCAGGUGUAGCGGUGAAAUGCGUAGAGAUCUGGAGGAAUACCGGUGGCGAAGGCGGCCCCCUGGACAAAGACUGACGCUCAGGUGCGAAAGCGUGGGGAGCAAACAGGAUUAGAUACCCCAGUAGUC
rnacentral:rRNA from 1 species